GAAAGUUAACACAGCAGUCACAACUUUCGAAAUCAAAAGCAAAAUCACAAGAGUUGUUUAAAAAAACCUGAAAUUUGACUUAGGCAAAAGUUAGGGAAUCAUGUUUUAAAAAAAAUCCCGCUAAGUCAAAAACUAAAAUGGAGUUGACUUAGGAAAAAGUUAGGGCAUCCUGAUGGACCACAAAUUCAAAAGAAUUGGUUCAUGCAAAAAUAGGGAUUAAAAAAGCAAAAAAAGAAGAAGAAAAAAUGAAAACAAGCUUGUAAGUGAAAGUAGGUGACUGUCACCUCAAGAAUCUCAUCAAUACUUGAAUCAUUACAUCUACCUCCAUCAUUAUCUAUCAAAAUUCUC
rnacentral:lncRNA from 1 species